CGCUGGCUCAGUACCUAUUGCUAACAAUAUUGUAAACAACGCUUAGCUAAAAUUAGCCGCAACUGACUUGCGAUUUAUAGAACGCUCGAAACCUUAUGAACAUCCUUCAGGCUUUUACAGCUCAACUCUGCAUGCAGAAUACAAAGGGGGCAAUUGACUGGUACUGACAGGGGUCUGGAGAGUAAGUUAUGAAAUAAGGUAGCCUUGCCUUAUUGUGCGUAAGCAACAAUGGCAGCUUGGGCACCUGUGACAUCCAUGGAGGCAGAAGUGACAUCCAUGGAGGCAGAACGAUCAUCAGGCCGGUCCUUAUCAGAGGGGAUGGACUGUGGUUCUUAACUCUUCUUGAGAAGCAGGUUGUCCACCAGCUGCAGACAUGUGCCCUGUAGCCUGGAGAGCUCCUCCUCGGAGGAAAGCAGACAGCGGCGGAGAACUGAGCUACCC